AUUUUCUUAGUAUAGCAGUAUUGAUGACUUCCAAUCACCAGGCCUCGGUUAAAAUCCGAGAGAAAAUA
rnacentral:tRNA from 1 species